GCCUACUCCGUGUGCAGCGACAUACGUGCGGCCGGGCAGAUGAGUGGGGCAUUGGCAGCCUGCAAACUGGAUCGGGAAGAGACAAAAAAAAGUUAGGCUCGGGAUGCAUGAUGCAUGCCCGACUUGAUUACCCGAGGACGCCUUAACCCAACCGGCCAACCUUGGUACGGACGGACACGGACGUAUGCUGCUCGUUCUACUAUUAUUACAAUAUGAAUAUCGCGGUUCUUGGCAAUGGCCAGCAACGUACGGUGAUUCUUCGUCGUGUCUCUAGAGAUCAAUACAGUCCAGCAGCCGGACCUCCGCAUUGAAGCUGGCUAGACAGCCUAGACUUGCUACAGAGUACGGAGGCACCCGACCAGCGUUCGGCGCCGCUUCCGCCGCCCCAAGGCCGGACCGCGGCCG
rnacentral:lncRNA from 7 species